GGGGUAUUAGCUCAGCUGGUAGAGCGUCAGGUUCGCAAUCUGAAAGUCGGGAGUUCGAGUCUCCUAUGCUCCA
rnacentral:tRNA from 1 species